rnacentral:rRNA from 1 species
UACGUAGGGUGCGAGCGUUAAUCGGAAUUACUGGGCGUAAAGCGUGCGCAGGCGGUUCGUUAAGUCAGAUGUGAAAGCCCCGGGCUCAACCUGGGAACUGCAUUUGAAACUGGCGGGCUUGAGUAUGGCAGAGGGGGGUGGAAUUCCGCGUGUAGCAGUGAAAUGCGUAGAGAUGCGGAGGAACACCGAUGGCGAAGGCAGCCCCCUGGGCCAACACUGACGCUCAUGCACGAAAACGUGGGGAGCAAACAGG